rnacentral:rRNA from 1 species
CCUACGGGGUGCAGCAGUGGGGAAUAUUGCGCAAUGGGCGAAAGCCUGACGCAGCGACGCCGCGUGAGGGAUGCAGGUCUUCGGAUCGUAAACCUCUGUCAGCAGGGAAGAACGGUCACUGUGCUAAUCAGCAGUGAAUUGACGGUACCUGCAAAGGAAGCACCGGCUACCUCCGUGCCAGCAGCCGCGGUAAUACGGAGGGUGCGCGCGUUAAUCGGAAUUACUGGGCGUAAAGCGCUCGUAGGCGGUAUGUCAAGUCAAGGGUGAAAUCCCCGCGACAAACGUGGGAAGUGCCUUUGAACUGGGCAAAGUGGAGGGGGUGAGAGGAUAGUGGAAUUCCAGGGGAAGGAGUGAA